rnacentral:rRNA from 1 species
CGCGGUAAUACGUAGGGUGCGAGCGUUAAUCGGAAUUACUGGGCGUAAAGCGUGCGCAGGCGGCUUUAUAAGCCAGAUGUGAAAUCCCCGGGCUUAACCUGGGAACUGCAUUUGGAACUGUAAGGCUAGAGUGUAGCAGAGGGGGGUAGAAUUUCCACGUGUAGCAGUGAAAUGCGUAGAUAUGUGGAGGAAUACCGAUGGCGAAGGCAGCCCCCUGGGCUAACACUGACGCUCAUGCACGAAAGCGUGGGGAGCAAACAGGAUUAGAUACCCUGGUAGUCCACGCCCUAAACGAUGUCAACUAGGUGUUGGGGAAGGAGACUUCUUUAGUACCGCAGCUAACGCGUGAAGUUGACCGCCUGGGGAGUACGGUCGCAAGAUUAAAACUCAAAGGAAUUGACGGGGACCCGCACAAGCGGUGGAUUAUGUGGAUUAAUUCGAUGCAACGCGAAAAACCUUACCUACCCUUGACAUGCCAGGAACUUUCCAGAGAUGGAUUGGUGCCCGAAAGGGAACCUGGACACAGGUGCUGCAUGGCUGUCGUCAGCUCGUGUCGCGAGAUGUUGGGUUAAGUCCCGCAACGAGCGCAACCCUUAUCAUUAAUUGCCAUCAUUCAGUUGGGCACUUUAAUGAGACUGCCGGUGAUAAACCGGAGGAAGGUGGGGAUGACGUCAAGUCCUCAUGGCCCUUAUGGGUAGGGCUUCACACGUAAUACAAUGGUCGGUACAGAGGGUUGCCAACCCGCGAGGGGGAGCCAAUCCCAGAAAGCCGAUCGUAGUCCGGAUCGUAGUCUGCAACUCGACUACGUGAAGUCGGAAUCGCUAGUAAUCGCGGAUCAGCAUGUCGCGGUGAAUACGUUCCCGGGUCUUGUACACACCGCCCGCCACACCAUGGGAGUGGAAUCUGGCAGAAGU